rnacentral:rRNA from 1 species
UACGUAGGGUCCGAGCGUUGUCCGGAAUUAUUGGGCGUAAAGGGCUCGUAGGCGGUUCGUCACGUCGGGAGUGAAAACUCGGAGCUUAACUCCGAGCCUGCUUCCGAUACGGGCAGACUAGAGGUAGGCAGGGGAGAGCGGAACUCCUGGUGUAGCGGUGGAAUGCGCAGAUAUCGGGAAGAACACCCGUGGCUAAGGCGGCUCUCUAGUACGGUACUGACACUGAGACGCGAAAGCGUGGGGAGCGAACAGG